AUCGCUUCUCAGCCUUUUGGCUAAGGUCAAGUGUAGCAUUCGUUCUUAUCAGUUUAAUAUCUGAUACAUCCUCUAUCCAAGGACAAUAUAUUAAAAGAAUAAAAUAAAAUAAUUAACUUGUUAGUUAUGAGGGUAUGGAGCCUUGAUAUUUCUGUUUGCAAAUAUUACCCUGGUAAUU
ensembl:snRNA U2 U2 spliceosomal RNA